UGUGAAUUAGGUGGAGUUGGGAGUGGAGCUGAGAUAAUAGGGUGAAUCGUACCAUUGUUGGGUGUGUUUGCUGUGUUUUCUUGAAUUCUGUCUGUACUAGUUACUAUGGUGAAAAUGAAAUUGUUGCAAUAUUGUUACUACAAUACUUUUCCAACUUUCUCUUAUUUAUUUUGUUUUGAAAGUGGUUAUGUGGUUUACUUCAGUGAUUUGGUUGUAUGAGCUCAAAUGCAUCCUCUUGUGUUUUAC
rnacentral:lncRNA from 1 species